CAUCCCUGGGAUUCCCCUUCUCAGACUCCUCUGUAGGAUCAUUUCAACUUUAUACCAGGACUUCUUCUUUCUUGGUUUAUUUCUUCUUUUCAGUGGAGUACAUUUUCCAAAAGUUGUCAAGAAAAGUGAGCACAGGAGUGUUGGGCAAAGGUCUCAAGUGAGACAGAGAAGGCAGAAAUUCACCAGCAAAUCCAAACUGGGGAAAUCCCAGAGUUGAAGAGAAGCAACUUAAAGAAAGAAAACCUUACAAAAAGAAACACGCUUGGGGAUACUCGUUUGCUGGUAAAAUGAUCUGCAGAAAAUUCUGAGAUAAGGGGUGUUAAAAGUAAGACAAUGCAGGCAUAAUUUGAUCAGACUAACAACUUUCCCCUUGUCUAAUGGGAGCCAAAGAAUGAUGUUUUAAUGCCGAGCUUCUAGAUGAAAUAUGUAUUAGCAAACUAUUCUAGGCUUUUAUAUUCCUUUAUUUUUCUUUUCAAAAAUUCCCAUAACAAUAUUCUGGUAUGCAUGCCACAUGAGGAUACAUUUCGUGCCAAAACCAGUUUUGGAAAUCUGCAGAUGAAAAGAGGAAGGUAUGCUGCAGCUGAGAGCAGACACUUCUAAGGCAUCUUGCAAGGAUAUCUGAGAGCAACCUUCUGCCAGGAUUUGCCCUGCCCACAGGCGUUAGCAUGGAUGUGAAGACUGCAGUGCGGCUUUCACUUUCUCAAUUUUCCAGAGGUCAUACUCCUCAAACUCCAGAGGAAUAAGAUACGGAAUCUUGCUCUGUCGCCCGGGCUGGAGUGCAGCGGCCGGAUCUCAGCUCCCU